rnacentral:lncRNA from 1 species
GUUUUAAGUUUUGCACUGUUGCCUAUUCUAGUUGGGUGAUCUAUAUUAUUGAUGAGGGACAGGCCGUCAUAUUGGAUGAAUGUCCAAAGUGCUGUUCUUCUGCAAUUCUUCUUGUAGCCCCAACUCGUGUGGUUGGCGUUGAAGUCACCGACCACUAUAAGGGGGUGAUUGCCGCUAAUGGAAAGGGCCUUUCGAAGGGCUGCUAGUAGAGGGACUGCGGGGCCUUUGGGCGGGCCAUAUAUAUUGAGAAGGAAUAGGCUGCCGCAUUUUCGAGUUCUCAGGAUAAGCUCGGCAAGAUGCCUUUGUAUAUCGUUCACUUCCAGGGGAUGGUCCGUACCCAUUAGGUAACAAUGGACGAGUAUGGCAAUCCGUGGGAGUGUCGUUCCCUCCCGUUCAUGCGUGGUGUAGUUACAAAGUUUCGUCUUACUUUGUGCUUCUUGUAAGGCGAUUAUGGGGGCAGUGUAUGGAUUCGGAAGGGUUUGCAGGUGUUGUAAGUUUCGUUUCGCACGGAAACUCCUACAAUUCCACUGCCUUACAUGUAUCUUGUUACGGUGUGCAGCCACGUUGUGCUGGGGGGGGGGACGGUGUUCGGCUGGUUACGGUCCUGUCAUUUUGGGGAGUAGAAGCCCAUUAAACUGGGCGUGCAUUUGAGCCGUGGUGGCCUCUUGUGCACCCUGGCGCUGCUCGAGCGCUGUCAACCGGUUGACGAUGUUAGCGAUCCAGGCUGUGUUGUCUUUUUGCAUUGAGGUGAGGCUAGCCUGCAUGGUUUGUAUGGCUACAGUUAAGGCAAUCAGCGGCGCGGUGACCAUAGGGGUAGGAUUUCCAGCCUGUGCUUGUGCCUUGCGCUUAGUAGGGGCUGGAGGGUUGGGCGCAGGUGAUGCCGUGCGCGAGGAGGAGGUGGAAGGGGGGGGUAGGGGAGCCUGUUUAUGUGUGCUAGCUGUUUGAGUGGGGUAAGCAGGGGAGCUAUACUGUUGUUGGGGAAGCUUUUGGAGAAUGAUUUGAAGCGGUUGUUCGAGCUCCGCGAUCUGGAGGUUUUGUUAAUGGAGUUGUUCCCUGAGCUUAGUGUUUUCCCUAGCGAGCGAAGGCGAUCGUGCUUUCCAGCUCACCUGUUGUUGUUCGGUGGGCUGGUUUCUCUGGCCAGUGAGGGGUGGAAAAGAAGAGGACCGACUCCUGUUGCGGCUGAGGUAGAUCUGGAACCGGCCCGGGACCCGGCGCGCUCUCAAAAACUGGAUU